rnacentral:rRNA from 1 species
UACGUAGAAGACUAGUGUUAUCAUCUUAAUAGGUUAAAGGUACCUAGACGGUAUAAUUAGUCUUAACAGGAACGGUUAUACUAGAGUUAUAUAUGAGGAGGUGAGUAUUGUGAGUAGAGUUGAAUUCUUGAUACCAUGAAGACUGGUAAGGCGAAAGCAACCUUUAUCUAAUAACUGACGUUGAGGACGAAGGCUCGGGUCGCGAACAGG